rnacentral:rRNA from 1 species
GAUGAACGCUGGCGGCGUGCCUAAUACAUGCAAGUCGAGCGAACGGACGAGAAGCUUGCUUCUCUGAUGUUAGCGGCGGACGGGUGAGUAACACGUGGAUAACCUACCUAUAAGACUGGGAUAACUUCGGGAAACCGGAGCUAAUACCGGAUGAUAUUUUGAACCGCAUGGUUCAAAAGUGAAAGACGGUCUUGCUGUCACUUAUAGAUGGAUCCGCGCUGCAUUAGCUAGUUGGUAAGGUAACGGCUUACCAAGGCAACGAUGCAUAGCCGACCUGAGAGGGUGAUCGGCCACACUGGAACUGAGACACGGUCCAGACUCCUACGGGAGGCAGCAGUAGGGAAUCUUCCGCAAUGGGCGAAAGCCUGACGGAGCAACGCCGCGUGAGUGAUGAAGGUCUUCGGAUCGUAAAACUCUGUUAUUAGGGAAGAACAUAUGUGUAAGUAACUGUGCACAUCUUGACGGUACCUAAUCAGAAAGCCACGGCUAACUACGUGCCAGCAGCCGCGGUAAUACGUAGGUGGCAAGCGUUAUCCGGAAUUAUUGGGCGUAAAGCGCGCGUAGGCGGUUUUUUAAGUCUGAUGUGAAAGCCCACGGCUCAACCGUGGAGGGUCAUUGGAAACUGGAAAACUUGAGUGCAGAAGAGGAAAGUGGAAUUCCAUGUGUAGCGGUGAAAUGCGCAGAGAUAUGGAGGAACACCAGUGGCGAAGGCGACUUUCUGGUCUGUAACUGACGCUGAUGUGCGAAAGCGUGGGGAUCAAACAGGAUUAGAUACCCUGGUAGUCCACGCCGUAAACGAUGAGUGCUAAGUGUUAGGGGGUUUCCGCCCCUUAGUGCUGCAGCUAACGCAUUAAGCACUCCGCCUGGGGAGUACGACCGCAAGGUUGAAACCCAAAGGAAUUGACGGGGACCCGCACAAGCGGUGGAGCAUGUGGUUUAAUUCGAAGCAACGCGAAGAACCUUACCAAAUCUUGACAUCCUUUGACAACUCUAGAGAUAGAGCCUUCCCCUUCGGGGGACAAAGUGACAGGUGGUGCAUGGUUGUCGUCAGCUCGUGUCGUGAGAUGUUGGGUUAAGUCCCGCAACGAGCGCAACCCUUAAGCUUAGUUGCCAUCAUUAAGUUGGGCACUCUAAGUUGACUGCCGGUGACAAACCGGAGGAAGGUGGGGAUGACGUCAAAUCAUCAUGCCCCUUAUGAUUUGGGCUACACACGUGCUACAAUGGACAAUACAAAGGGCAGCGAAACCGCGAGGUCAAGCAAAUCCCAUAAAGUUGUUCUCAGUUCGGAUUGUAGUCUGCAACUCGACUACAUGAAGCUGGAAUCGCUAGUAAUCGUAGAUCAGCAUGCUACGGUGAAUACGUUCCCGGGUCU